CACACAGUUAGCCUAUCACGCAGGAAGCAGGAAACGGCCGCGCGGCCAACAGAGGAGCCAGGGGCACAGCACAGUAAGAACCGAGCAGGGGAAACGGGGAGAGAGAGAGCAAGGAGAUCCGGCGUCCUGGAAAAAUACCGCGCGCACGGAACUUCGGCUAGGGGCACGCAGCAAUCCAGGGAGCCGGGCAGAGGGAUGGAAGCCGCGGCGCAGAAAGGAGAGCGCGACACAGGGAGAUCUGACCGGAGCUGGAGCAAGGGGAAGGAGACGCGCGAGCACCAUGGGAGCAGAGAGCUCGACCAGGAGAGAGGAAACGGAGGCUAGGUGACCGAGCGUCGUCUUCCGCGGCGAACAGCAGGGAGAACGGCGGCGCCACCAUAGGAGCACGAGCAGCAGCAGGGAGUAGAGGUGGCCGUCGCCAGGGCUCACGGCCAGGAGGACCGCUCCUUGGAGCCGAGCAGCAAGCCGAGAGGGAUAAGGCCAGACAGCCAAUGACGGUGGAAAAAAAUCAGGGGCAGCGGCUAGAUCUUUUUCCAUUUUUUUCAUCUUUCUUUUCUUUUUUGAUAACGGAAAUCGCAGAUCUUUCUAGAUCGAGAUUUUUAGCGAUGUGCAUGGACCGACACGCCACACGAAUACAUAUGACAUGCUUCGGAUUUA
rnacentral:misc_RNA from 1 species